GCGGUGAUGACAUAUCAAUCAAAGCACGUGUUAGACUGCUGACAAGGGUGAUGCGAAUUGUAGUCUGAGC